rnacentral:rRNA from 1 species
AAAUAUUCCUGCACCACUAAGGAUGGCGUAGAAGCAAGCAGGGACGAAGAAGGGUAGCUCAGCACCGCGUUGGUUGGUGUUCAAGCUGGUAGGCUGGCUCUUUAGGACCCAAUAGGGACAAACGGAGAGUCUAAGCCGAGAUGUGAUGAGGUGAGACCUUUGGUCUCAAAACUGAGUAAUCCCAUACUUCCUAGAAAAGCUGCGUGCAGAGCCACUUUAGUGUCCGUACUACAAACCAACUCAGGUGGGCGGGGUGAAUAUCCCAAGGCGCGCGAGAGACCCCUGGUUAAGGAACUCGGCAAAUUUGCACCGUAACUUCGGGAGAAGGUGUGCCCCUCGACGUGUAGCCCUCGCGGUCAAGCGUUAGGGGGUCGCAGUGAAAUGGCGGUUGUGACUGUUUACUAAAAACACAGGACUCUGCGAAGUCGUAAGACGACGUAUAGGGUCUGAUGCCUGCCCGGUGCUGGAAGGUUAAGGGAAUGCGUCAGCGCAAGCGAAGCGUUGAACCGAAGCCCCAGUAAACGGCGGCCGUAACAAUAACGGUCCUAAGGUAGCGAAAUUCCUUGUCGGGUAAGUUCCGACCUGCACGAAUGGCAUAACAACAUCCGCACUGUCUCGACCAGGGACUCGGCGAAAUUGCAGUGGGGGUGAAGAUGCCCUCUACCCGCGACUAGACGGAAAGACCCCAUGAACCUUUACUGUAGCUUGGCAGUGAUUUUCGGGACAUCUUGCGUAGGAUAGGUGGGAGGCUUUGAAGUCGGGAUUCUGGUCUCGAUGGAGCCACCCUUGAAAUACCACCCUGGAUGUUCUGGGAAUCUAACCUGCGUCCGUUAUCCGGACGAGGGACACUGCCUGGUGGGCAGUUUGACUGGGGCGGUCGCCUCCUAAAACGUAACGGAGGCGUGCGAUGGUUCCCUCAGGCUGAUUGGAAACCAGCCGUAGAGUGCAAACGCAUAAGGGAGCUUGACUGUAAGACCGACAGGUCGAGCAGGUACGAAAGUAGGUGUUAGUGAUCCGGUGGUCCCGUAUGGAUGGGCCAUCGCUCAACGGAUAAAAGGUACUCUGGGGAUAACAGGCUGAUCGCGCCUGAGAGUUCAUAUCGGCGGCGCGGUUUGGCACCUCGAUGUCGGCUCAUCGCAUCCUGGGGCUGGAGCAGGUCCCAAGGGUUUGGCUGUUCGCCAAUUAAAGCGGUACGCGAGCUGGGUUUAAAACGUCGUGAGACAGUUUGGUCCCUAUCUGUCGUGGGCGCAGGAAACUUGAGAGGCCCUUACUAUAGUACGAGAGGACCUAGUUGGACGUACCUCUGGUGUUCCGGUUGUCACGCCUGUGGCAUAGCCGGGUAGCCAUGUACGGAAGGGAUAACCGCUGAAAGCAUAUAAGCGGGAAGCCUGCCUCAAGAUGAAGUUUCCCUGACUUCGGUCACUAAAGACCCCUCGGAGACUACGAGGUUGAUAGGCUGGAUGUGGAAGCGCUGCGAGGCGUGGAGCUAACCAGUACUAAUUGGUCCAAA